UGGGAAUUUGACAAUGGGCGAAAGCCUGAUCCAGCAAUGCCGCGUGUGUGAAGAAGGCCUUCGGGUUGUAAAGCACUUUUGUCCGGAAAGAAAUCCUUGGCUCUAAUACAGUCGGGGGAUGACGGUACCGGAAGAAUAAGCACCGGCUAACUACGUGCCAGCAGCCGCGGUAAUACGUAGGGUGCAAGCGUUAAUCGGAAUUACUGGGCGUAAAGCGUGCGCAGGCGGUUUGCUAAGACCGAUGUGAAAUCCCCGGGCUCAACCUGGGAACUGCAUUGGUGACUGGCAGGCUAGAGUAUGGCAGAGGGGGGUAGAAUUCCACGUGUAGCAGUGAAAUGCGUAGAGAUGUGGAGGAAUACCGAUGGCGAAGGCAGCCCCCUGGGCCAAUACUGACGCUCAUGCACGAAAGCGUGGGGAGCAAACAGGAUUAGAUACCCUGGUAGUCCACGCCCUAAAACGAUGUCAACUAGUUGUUGGGGAUUCAUUUCCUUAGUAACGUAGCUAACGCGUGAAGUUGACCGCCUGGGGAGUACGGUCGCAAGAUUAAAACUCAAAGGAAUUGA
rnacentral:rRNA from 1 species